CCGCGACCCCAGGUCAGGCGGGACUACCCGCUGAGUUUAAGC
rnacentral:rRNA from 9 species